CUAAUAAUUUUAUUUACUUAUUUAUUUGGGCCAAUUAUUCUUCCCAUCAUACCAUUUCUUAUGAGGCCCAAAUAAUUAUAAUUUACCCUAUUCUAUAAAUAUCCCUUUGAUCCCCAAAUUUGCCACACAAAAGUCAAAGGGGUAAGCUUUUUUUUUUCUUUUCCUUCUUCCUUAUUUUCUCUCUUGUUCUUACUUUUCUUUUCCCCUGCUUCACGUGAACUGCUCACAAUGCAAGGAGAAGUUGGAAGCUUUGCUCCUCCACGUCACCUGCCACGUCACCAGCCACCUCCGCCGCCCAGCAGCCGCCGGCGACCAGCCGACCACCACCACCACGGGAGACUUGGUUCGAGAGGUGUUGUAGUGUAAUUGACCAUUUUAAGAGCUUAAUUGAGUGGAAACAAGUAGAGAUAAACUUUUCAGGUAUUGAAGCAUGAUCAUGAUGGGGCAUGAGAGAAGAGUGAAUCUUACUAGUUUUCAUUAGGUUACAAGGUGUUUUAUGCUUUAUUUAUUUAUGAUAUAUUUUGUGUGGACUAACACAAAGGUUUGGUUUUGGGAACGGUUUUUGAAUAAGGGCCUUUAAUGGUUCCAAGUUGUAGUUUGAUUUUAUUUGACUUGUUCGUUUGGUUUUAAACUUUAUUUUCGUUUGGUUGACUUUGGGUUGACUUGUUUAAUCGGUUUUUAAUUUUGAGUCU